GCUGAAGUAGCUUAGUUGGGAGAUCGUUCAACUGGAAGAUUCAAAGGUCCCUGGAUCCAUCCCGGGUUUCGGCA